rnacentral:rRNA from 1 species
AUUGAACGCUGGCGGCAGGCCUAACACAUGCAAGUCGAGCGGAUGAAGGGAGCUUGCUCCUGGAUUCAGCGGCGGACGGGUGAGUAAUGCCUAGGAAUCUGCCUGGUAGUGGGGGAUAACGUCCGGAAACGGGCGCUAAUACCGCAUACGUCCUGAGGAAGAAAGUGGGGGAUCUUCGGACCUCACGCAAUCAGAUGAGCCUAGGUCGGAUUAGCUAGUUGGUGGGGUAAAGGCCUACCAAGGCGACGAUCCGUAACUGGUCUGAGAGGAUGAUCAGUCACACUGGAACUGAGACACGGUCCAGACUCCUACGGGAGGCAGCAGUGGGGAAUAUUGGACAAUGGGCGAAAGCCUGAUCCAGCCAUGCCGCGUGUGUGAAGAAGGUCUUCGGAUUGUAAAGCACUUUAAGUUGGGAGGAAGGGCAGUAAGUUAAUACCUUGCUGUUUUGACGUUACCAACAGAAUAAGCACCGGCUAACUUCGUG